rnacentral:rRNA from 1 species
GGCAGGCGGGUGAGUAACAUGUAGGUAUCUACCCUUUGGCCUGGAAUAACACGAGGAAACUUGUGCUAAUACCGGAUAAGUCUUUACGGAGAAAGCUUUAUGCACCAUUGGAUGAGCCUGCACUUGAUUAGUUUGUUGGUGGGGUAAUGGCCUACCAAGACUGUGAUCAAUAGCUGAUUUGAGAGGAUGAUCAGCCACAUUGGGACUGAGACACGGCCCAAACUCCUACGGGAGGCAGCAGUGGGGAAUCUUGCACAAUGGAGGAAACUCUGAUGCAGCGAUGCCGCGUGAGUGAAGAAGGCCUUUGGGUUGUAAAGCUCUUUCGUCGGGGAAGAAAAUGACUGUACCCGAAUAAGAAGGCCCGGCUAACUUCGUGCCAGCAGCCGCGGUAAUACGAAGGGACCUAGCGUAGUUCGGAAUUACUGGGCUUAAAGAGUUCGUAGGUGGUUGAAAAAGUUAGUGGUGAAAUCCCAGAGCUUAACUCUGGAACUGCCAUUAAAACUUUUUAGCUAGAGUAUGAUAGAGGAAAGCAGAAUUUCUAGUGUAGAGGUGAAAUUCGUAGAUAUUAGAAAGAGUACCAAUUGCGAAGGCAGCUUUCUGGAUCAUUACUGACACUGAGGAACGAAAGCAUGGGUAGCGAAGAGGAUUAGAUACCCUCGUAGUCCAUGCCGUAAACGAUGUGUGUUAGACGUUGGAAAUUAAUUUUCAGUGUCGCAGCGAAAGCGAUAAACACAC